rnacentral:misc_RNA from 1 species
GAUCAUUACUGAGUUAUCUAACUCCCAAACCUUUGUGAACAUACCAUUGUUGCUUCGGCGGACUCGUCCCGGGCGCGCUCUCGAGCGUGAUCCGGAACCAGGCGGCCGCCGAGGGAUUCAAACUCUUGUUUUUAUAGUGGACUUCUGAGUAUCAUGAGUAAAUAAAUCAAAACUUUCAGCAACGGAUCUCUUGGUUCUGGCAUCGAUGAAGAACGCAGCGAAAUGCGAUAAGUAAUGUGAAUUGCAGAAUUCAGUGAAUCAUCGAAUCUUUGAACGCACAUUGCGCCCAUCAGUAUUYUGUUGGGCAUGCCUGUCCGAGCGUCAUUUCAACCCUCAGGGCCCGUUCGCGGGAACUGGUGUUGGGGAUCGGCCCCCCCCCCCGGAGGCCGGCCCCGAAAUGCAGUGGCGGCUCUACCGCGAUCUCCUCUGUGUAGUAGCGAUACCUCGCAGCUGGAUAGUGGUGGUGCCACGCCGUAAAAUCCCAACUUUACCAAGGUUGACCUCGGAUCAGGUAG